UUAUUAUUAUCCAAGAAUACUUAUGAUUAAUCUUUCCAUCAUGACCAUUAGCCAUAAUAUGAUUGAUCUCAACAUUAGCAGAAAUCAAC